rnacentral:lncRNA from 1 species
CAGCUAUGGAAAACACAAAACUAUCAGUCAUUGUCAAAUACUCCAUAAAUGGAGACAGAGAAGGGGUUCAGUUCUCUGUGUAACAAGGACAGAGGAGAAAGGCAUCUGCAGUGUCAAAUCUACAGAGACAAGUGCACCUGGAGACAAAUGACCAGACUACCAUAAAACAGAAGCUUAAUUAUGUUCACUUACAUUUUCAAAUUAUUCCCAACAAAUUACCCUGUUUUUCCAGGCAGAAGAAGCAGAG